AUCCGUUAGAUUUUACCGAGCUCCACGAUGUUGGUAUGAUUCUGCAGAGCCAUAUGAUGGCCAGGUACAUUUUUACUAAGCCUAUUACGGCCGGGUAAGAUAUGGUGAUGAUGAUGCCCACAGAGGCGUAUGUUUUUAAAAGUUCAUGUAUUUAUACAUAUGUAUCAUGCAUUUCAUGUCAGUAUCCCUCAUGGGUACUCAGAUGUUACAGGUUGUAUCUUCUCUAUCCUUGCAACAUUACAGUUCGUA
rnacentral:lncRNA from 1 species